rnacentral:tRNA from 19 species
GAUCCGGUAGUUCAGUUGGUUAGAAUACUUGCCUGUCACGCAAGUGGUCGCGGGUUCGAGUCCCGUCCGGAUCGCCA